rnacentral:rRNA from 1 species
GAUGAACGCUGGCGGCGUGCCUAAUACAUGCAAGUCGAGCGAACGGACGAGAAGCUUGCUUCUCUGAUGUUAGUGGCGGAUGGGUGAGUAACACGUGGAUAACCUACCUAUAAGACUGGGAUAACUUCGGGAAACCGGAGCUAAUACCGGAUAAUAUUUUGAACCGCAUGGUUCAACAGUGAAAGACGGUCUUGCUGUCACUUAUAGAUGGAUCAGCGCUGCAUUAGCUAGUUGGUAAGGUAACAGCCUACCAAGGCUACGAUGCAUACCCGACCUGAUAGGGGGAUGGGCCACGACGCGACGGAGACAAGCUCCAGACUCCUGCGGGAGGCAACAGGAGGGAAGCGUCCGCAACGGGGGAAAGUCUGUCGGAGCGACGGCUUGGCGGUGAUAAAGGUCCUGCGAUCGUUAAACCCUUUUAUGAGUGAUAAACAAAUGUUGAAUGAAGUGUGCAAAUUGUGAAGGUACCUAGUCAAAAAGCCACGGCUAACUACGUG